UUUUUUUUCCUAUAAUAUUUUAAUUUUUGGAUUUAAAAAAAAAAUAAUACAAAAAACUAGGCCCUCCCAAAAUAAAUGCCAGCUGACGCCCCUACACAACUGAUCAUCUUGCAACACAAAAUCGAAAAUGAUGUUUAGGAUACGGGAGGAACUCUGGAAUCUGCCAAAGGAGACUGUCAUUAGCCGUUUCUAUGGUUGAAUCGAGACCGUUAUUGGCGCGGAAGAUGAUUCGUUUAGGCGAAAAUCAAUUUAAGUACAAACAUCGUGUUGGUUGUUAAAUAGAGGUCGCACCCUUAUAUCGGCUUGUCUGAACCAUAAACAACAUGUUGUAACCGGUCUUAAAGGAAUAGAAGAAGACGGAACUAAAUAAGUAUAUAAAUUAUAAUAUAUGUUAUGUACAUUUUUUAACUUGUGCAAUCAAAUAAUACUAGUUGCAAUCAAAAAAUGAAAUAAAAAAUUUAGAGUA
rnacentral:lncRNA from 1 species